rnacentral:RNase_P_RNA from 2 species
UGAGCCGGCCAGGCGGCCGCGUCGGGAGUUCGCUCCCGCCGAGGAACGUCCGGGCUCCGAAGAGCAGGGUGGUGGCUAACGGCCACCCGGGGUGACCCGCGGGACAGUGCCACAGAAAGCAGACCGCCUGCGCUCGCGCAGGUAAGGGUGAAACGGUGGUGUAAGAGACCACCAGCGCCCCAGGUGACUGGGGCGGCUAGGUAAACCCCACCCGGAGCAAGGCCAGACAGCAUGCGCCCGAGGGCUGCUCGCCCGAGCAUGCGGGUAGGCCGCUGGAGGCGACUGGCAACAGUCGUCCUAGAUGGAUGGUCGCCCAAUGACUGAACCCGGCGUAUCGGCCGGCUCAUCCC